rnacentral:rRNA from 1 species
GAUGAACGCUGGCGGCGUGCCUAAUACAUGCAAGUCGAGCGAACAGACGAGGAGCUUGCUCCUCUGACGUUAGCGGCGGACGGGGGAGUAACACGUGGAUAACCUACCUAUAAGACUGGGAUAACUUCGGGAAACCGGAGCUAAUACCGGAUAAUAUAUUGAACCGCAUGGUUCAAUAGUGAAAGACGGUUUUGCUGUCACUUAUAGAUGGAUCCGCGCCGCAUUAGCUAGUUGGUAAGGUAACGGCUUACCAACGCAACGAUGCGUAGCCGACCUGAGAGGGUGAUCGGCCACACUGGAACUGAGACACGGUCCAGACUCCUACGGGAGGCAGCAGUAGGGAAUCUGCCGCAAUGGGCGAAAGCCUGACGGAGCAACGCCGCGUGAGUGAUGAAGGUCUUCGGAUCGUAAAACCCUGUUAUUAGGGAAGAACAAAUGUGUAAGUAACUAUGCACGUCUUGACGGUACCUAAUCAGAAAGCCACGGCUAACUACGUG